ensembl:misc_RNA
UAUUCAGAAUUCAUUUUUAGAAGAGGUAAUAAUGGGACUCUUGAAGGGGGUCUUGCCUCUCUUCGCUCCCCAACUGUGCGGAGAUACCAUUCUGAAAUUCCCAUUGAGG